UUACGAUCAAAUCACGAUGAACACACCUGUUCUCGUCUGAUCACCGAAGUUAAGCCUCGUCAGGUCAGUACCUAGGUGGGUAACAGCAUGGGAAUACUUGGUACUGUAAG